UACGUAGGGGGCGAGCGUUGUCCGGAUUUAUUGGGCGUAAAGGGCGUGUAGGCGGUCUGUUAAGUUGGGGGUGAAAAUCCAGGGCUCAACCCUGGGACUGCCUCCAAAACUGGCGGACUUGAGUGCUCUAGAGGGCAGUGGAAUUGCCGGUGUAGCAGUGAAAUGCGUAGAGAUCGGCAGGAACACCAGUGGCGAAGGCGACUGCCUGGGGAGUAACUGACGCUGAGGCGCGAAAGCUGGGGGAGCAAACGGG
rnacentral:misc_RNA from 1 species